UACGAAGGGGGCGAGCGUUGUUCGGAUUUACUGGGCGUAAAGGGCGCGUAGGCGGCGGGUCAAGUCGAGUGUGAAAGCCCCGGGCUCAACCUGGGAAUUGCGCUCGAGACUGGUCUGCUUGAGUUCGGGAGAGGAGAGUGGAAUUCCCAGUGUAGAGGUGAAAUUCGUAGAUAUUGGGAAGAACACCGGUGGCGAAGGCGGCUCUCUGGACCACUACUGACGCUGAGGCGCGAAAGCUAGGGGAGCAAACAGGG
rnacentral:rRNA from 1 species